CCUACGGGAGGCUGCAGUGGGGGAUAUUGCACAAUGGGCGGAACCCUGAUGCAGCGACGCCGCGUGGGUGAAGAAGCGCCUCGGCGCGUAAAGCCCUGUCAGCAGGGAAGAAAAUGACGGUACCUGAAGAAGAAGCCCCGGCUCACUACGUGCCGGCAGCCGCGGUAAUACGUAGGGGGCAAGCGUUAUCCGGAUUUACUGGGUGUAAAGGGGGCGCAGGCGGCGAGGCAAGUCAGGCGUGAAAGGCCGGGGCCCAACCCCGGGACUGGCCUUGAAACUGCGUGGCUGGAGUGCAGGAGGGGCAGGCGGAAUGCCUGGUGUAGCGGUGAAAUGCGUAGAUAUCAGGAAGAACACCGAUGGCGAAGGCAGCCUGCUGGAGUGCAACUGACGUUGAGGCCCGAAAGCGUGGGGAGCGAACAGGAUUAGAUACCCGUGUAGUC
rnacentral:rRNA from 1 species